GGCAGGGGAUGACUGACCAAUUACGAUUUCCAGAACAAAACGUUUGACAGGAUCUAUCACUCCAGCAGUGCAACUGCCUGGAUCUGCUACAAGAGCCACAUGCAGGAGUUGCCCAGUGAGUCUGAGGAUGACACCUCCCAGGAUGAAUGUGGACCUCUGAAUCACUGCUAUUUCACCAUGGACAUUGCAGAGCAGUUGCUCCAAGGCUAAGCUCAUGGCGCACAGAGCAGAAGGCAGCCUGAGAUGCCACCAGUGCCACUCCACAACUUUGGCAGACUCCAUAUCCUGGUCAAUAUGGAUACCAUUCCCUUUCCAGAAUCCCUCUGGUAGAGGAAACUGAUGGCCACUGAAGACGAGGGGUUGAUCGCUCCAUCUUGCCAAACAACCACCAACUAACGACAUCCCAGACAAAAAAAAUCCAAAAAAAAAGAAAGAAAAGAAAAAAGACAAAAAAACAACAGCCAUCUGAUUCAAGUUCGGCACAAAUUAGGAUGUAUUUGUGUAAAUGAAUUAGGAUGCUAAGGGAAAAAAAGUUUCAUCUGUGAAAAGCAACAGCUGAUGUUGUGUUUCUGCCCAUGAUGAUAACGAACUUUUUUCAAGAUGUAUUUUUUGCGUUGGGAGAU